rnacentral:rRNA from 1 species
GACGAACGCCGGCGGCGUGCCUAAUACAUGCAAGUUGAGCGAUGAAGCUUGGUGCUUGCACCAAUUUGAAGAGCAGCGAACGGGUGAGUAACGCGUGGGGAAUCUGCCUUUGAGCGGGGGACAACAUUUGGAAACGAAUGCUAAUACCGCAUAACAACUUUAAACAUAAGUUUUAAGUUUGAAAGAUGCAAUUGCAUCACUCAAAGAUGAUCCCGCGUUGUAUUAGCUAGUUGGUGAGGUAAAGGCUCACCAAGGCGAUGAUACAUAGCCGACCUGAGAGGGUGAUCGGCCACAUUGGGACUGAGACACGGCCCAAACUCCUACGGGAGGCAGCAGUAGGGAAUCUUCGGCAAUGGACGAAAGUCUGACCGAGCAACGCCGCGUGAGUGAAGAAGGUUUUCGGAUCGUAAAACUCGGUUGGUAGAGAAGAACGUUGGUGAGAGUGGAAAGCUCAUCAAGUGACGGUAACUACCCAGAAAGGGACGGCUAACUACGUG